GACGAACGCUGGCGGCGUGCUUAACACAUGCAAGUCGAACGGUGAAGCGCCUUCCUUUUUGGUGGGUGUGGAUGAGUGGCGAACGGGUGAGUAACACGUGAGUAACCUGCCCCCUUCUUCUGGAUAACCGCAUGAAAGUGUGGCUAAUACGGGAUAUUCUGGGUCUGUCGCAUGAUGGGUCUGGGAAAGAUAUUGUUUCGGUGGGGGAUGGGCUCGCGGCCUAUCAGCUUGUUGGUGGGGUGAUGGCCUACCAAGGCGGUGACGGGUAGCCGGCCUGAGAGGGUGGACGGUCACACUGGGACUGAGACACGGCCCAGAUUCCUACGGGAGGCAGCAGUGGGGAAUAUUGCACAAUGGGCGCAAGCCUGAUGCAGCGACGCCGCGUGAGGGAUGGAGGCCUUCGGGUUGUGAACCUCUUUCGCCAGUGAAGCAGGCCUGCCUCGUUUGUGGGUGGGUUGACGGUAGCUGGAUAAGAAGCGCCGGCUAACUACGUG
rnacentral:rRNA from 1 species